rnacentral:lncRNA from 1 species
GGAAAUAUAGCCUUAGAGAAAGGAAAGAUUGCGAAAUUGGAAUUAGCUGAAGAGACAAAACAAGACAUUGUUGAGACUAUUAUGGGAAUUCAAAAAUGUGGUCCAAAGACGCAUGCAGAAGGAUUUACAAUUGCCAGGAUAAACAUGAGGUUUUGGGGCACUGUUGGUCCACCAUGGAAAGGGAUCGCAUCAGUUGUACAAUGAAUGCCAAAUUUAAAGGAGUCAAGACUUAUGGGGCAUGUAUGUUAUGUGCCCAAGCUUGUCAAAAGUUUC